UCAGCCUACCCUAGCCCAGAACCCACUAACCCAACUCAAACAAAACAUUCACCCAAAGCCUAGUAUAGGUGAUAGAAAAGCACACCAUUGGGCGCUAUAGAAAAAGUACCGCAAGGGAAAGAUGAAAUAAAAAUGAAAACCUAAGCACCAAGCAGCAAAGAUAAACCCUUGUACCUCUUGCAUCAUGAUUUAGCAAGAAUAACCAGGCAAAGCGAACUAAAGCCUGCCACCCCGAAACCCAAGCGAGCUACUCACAAGCAGCUGCCAAGAGCUAACCCGUCUCUGUUGCAAAAGAGUGGGAUGACUUGUUAGUAGAAGUGAAAAGCCAACCGAGCUGGGUGAUAGCUGGUUGCCCACAAAAAGAAUUUAAGUUCUACCCUAGCCCCUCCCCAACAAACAAACCAACCUAAUCCCCACGCAGCGAGCUAAGAGCUAUUUAAAGGGGGUACAGCCCCUUUAAAAAAGGAUACAACCCCCACCAGCGGAUAACCACCAAUCCACUAAUCCCAAGUAGGCUUUAAAGCAGCCACCACCAAAGAAAGCGUCAAAGCCCUACAACAAAAAAUCCCCAAAACAAUGCGACUCCCUAAACUAUAGUGUGCCAACCUAUUAACAUAGAUGAAUUAAUGCUAAAACGAGUAACCAGGACACUCGUCCCCUUAAGCGCCAACCUGAUGACACCACUAACAGCACAACUACAAUCUUUCCCCUAAACAACAUUGAACACACCCUGUCAACCCAACCCAGGAGCGCACACUAGGAUGAUUAAAAUCUGCAAAAGGAACUCGGCAAACCCAAGGCCCGACUGUUUACCAAAAACAUAGCCUUCAGCCAAACAAGUAUUGAAGGUGAUGCCUGCCCAGUGAUACUAAAUUCAACGGCCGCGGUAUCCUAACCGUGCAAAGGUAGCGCAAUCAAUUGUCCCAUAAAUCGAGACCUGUAUGAAUGGCUAAACGAGGUCUUAACUGUCUCCUGCAGACAAUCAAUGAAACUGAUCUCCCUGUACAAAAGCAGAGAUGCCCACAUAAGACAAGAAGACCCUGUGGAACUUCAAAAUCAUUAACCACAACACCCCAAAAAUCAAACCUACCAAGGCCCACUCCCCAAAACACUGGUUAACAUUUUUAGGUUGGGGCGACCUUGGAGAAAAAAAGAUCCUCCAAAAACAAGGCCAAACCCCUUAACCAAGAGCAACCUCUCAACGCGCUAAUAGUACCCAGACCCAAUAAAAUUGACCAAUGAACCAAGCUACCCCAGGGAUAACAGCGCAAUCCCCUCCAAGAGCCCCUAUCGACGAGGGGGUUUACGACCUCGAUGUUGGAUCAGGACAUCCUAGUGGUGCAACCGCUACUAAGGGUUCGUUUGUUCAACGAUUAACAGUCCUACGUGAUCUGAGUUCAGACCGGAGUAAUCCAGGUCGGUUUCUAUCUAUGAUCAACCUCCCCCAGUACGAAAGGACCGAGGAGGUAGGGCCAAUACCCCAAGCACGCCCUCUCCCCAAGUGAUGCACCCCACUAAACCACCUAAGGACCACCCUUUACACCAACGAAAAAGGCA
rnacentral:rRNA from 1 species